rnacentral:piRNA from 1 species
UGAGACCUAGCCAGCAGUUUUGUUGCCAGCU